AGACAAUGAGCAUCGCCCUGUGUGGUGUGAGAACACACGCGAAAUUUUUCCGCGCGCGACUUCACGGCCGUCGGAUACUUUUCCCCGGUACUGUCAAAUUAACGAACGAAUUUGACGGUAGAUUGGAAACUUAUCGUGGAUUGCCGAGUUCUUUUCUCCUUUGAAAACUUUUAAGAAUUUUGAGCGCUGUUCCUGUUCCCAGUCGCAGGAAGGAUGUCGCAGAAUUACGGAAAAUUUAGAAGUGAAAAAUACCGACGACCACGUGGUGCUUUGAUCCUGAUCGAUUCGCGUUUCUAACCUCAUGGAAUUUGACAGUGUACGUUUACGGAGAACAGAGUGAAAAAUUUUGUACUAGCCAUCGGAGAUUCGCAACUAGUGGUCGUCCAACGUCUAGGUCGGCUGGACCGUGUUACCUGAAGAAGCAAUCUCUGUCGCAUGGAAUAACAUUUAGGCCGGACUGCUCCACUGCACCGACUGUAUAUAUGUGUAUAUAUGUAUACAUACCUGCGCAACUGUGUUACGCCCGAGGAGUCCCCUGCGCCUCGAUAUGAUCUUCUGUUUUCGUGUAAUCGGGAAGGCUGAGUCGGAGACAUGAUCGUGGAAAAGGGAGCGGAGGGAAAGGAUACACGGAGAGAGUGUGAAAAAUAAUUUCCUGCCGUUGAUAUGUGGCGGAUCGGACGGAGGAGAAAAGUCCUGGGCCGGGGGAUAUCAAAAUAUUAUUCGAGGGUUAGCCGGGGUAGCUCCGCAUUCUCGUGCCAUACAGAAACCUUGCCGAGCCUAAAGUGGAUGGUUAUUGCCCUCAACCUGACCGCAUACCCGUACCUCCUGGCUGUACACGAAUUUCGUAUUUACCGCUUAAUCCUUCAUCCUUCUUAUCCAAUUUAAUUCUAAAUAUUUCAAAUUUCCCCUAAUACACGUAUAUAUAUAUAUAUAUAUAUAUAUAUAUAUAUAAUCAAAUAUAAUAGAAAGUAAUUCAAUUAUUUCAUUUCUUUUUAAAGCGACAAAUGAAAGUAAUAAGCCCGACGAUGGAGGGAAUUUCGUCAUAAGAUAAGAUUGUAAAGAACGAUGCGUUCCACAAGUCAUCGUUUACCGACGUUAAGUUAAUCGAUAACAAGAGGAGGAUCUGGACCGGUGGGUAAAGUAGUGCGAAAAAUUGGCGCAUCGGUUCCAUGGAGGUUACCGUGUACAGGGGAGUGUGAGUUGCGCGCGCGUUGCACGCUCACACAUGCGCGCACAAGUACGCGGCAAGAGUACUUACAAUUAAUACGGGGUACGCAGCCCCAAGCUGCGAGAGACUCGGUCGAUAUGUGGUCACAAUGAAGGGUGUGGCGUUCGAGGACGAAAAGCUCUCUCUCUCCUGUCCGCUUUAUCCUGCCAUUGGCUGUUGCCAGGUGUCGAGAAUGGCGGACACCUUUCCCGACACCGGCCCUCCGGCUCCUCUUAAACAACAUUUCGAAUCGUCUUCCUUCCCAAACCGAACGAGCCACCAAAGAUUUUGCGCCCGAUAAUUCGCGGAGAAUCAACUUUUCGGAGAUCUUCCAUCCUUCCGAGGAUUGUGAUUAAUUUUGUUUAUUUUGUCGCCUCAUUGUAUAUUUCGUGUGUGAAAUACUAGAACCGAUGAUUAUUGCUUUUAUUUAAUCGAGAAAGGAAAGGGAAAUUUAAAGUAUCGAUUAUUGUAAUUAAUUUAUUAUAUUAUCCAUUGAUUCUUUGUUUAUUACGAAUGAAUAAAGUUGAAGGAAAGAGA